UGGGUGUUACUUCCUAAGGGGGCUCCCUCGCAGAGGGCUCGCCCACCUGGCAUCUGCCUUAUUUGUGAAAACGCGGACCGGGUCUGCGCUAGGCCUAUCCGGCGUCGCAGGACGGGUCGCUGCUCAGGCACCUGCACAGCAGGUCGGCAGCGACGCCUAGCGCCACGGUGCUGUCCUUCCUCACGGUGAGGAGUCGCUGGCUGUGUUGUAGGCUAUGCCAUCGGCACAGGCUCGUCUGGGUCGUUGCGCGAAUCUCGGAGGCGUAUCCGGGGAGAUCCGAGUCCUCGGACGAAGACGAAGAGGAGGUCUCCAGGGCGACGAGCCUGGCCUCCAUUUCCUUGAUUUCCUCGGUCCUGUCCUUCGACCAUCGAACCCAGAUGGCGUCAGGAACAGUCCCGAGGUCCAGUAUGAGGUGUCUCGACCGUCAAGACCGGCUUGCUGGGCCUCUGCUCUUUCGGCGUUGAAAAAUGGACAUGAGUCCAAACGGUGGGUGGGGUUGUCCUCAACCCCACAGUCUGGGCAGAGUCCGGCGUGUGCUUUGCCGAUCCUGACAAGUUGGCAGCCGAAGCCGCCGUGGCCAGUGAAGAAUUGCGUCCUGGCGGGGGACAUUGGGAUCUUGAGGCGGAUCCUCUCUUCAAGGUUGGGGCAGAAUUCGAAGGUGGUCCGACCCCGGGAUUCCGCUUCCCAGACCCUCUGCCAGGCUUCUAGGGUGACGUCUUCAGCUCUCGCUUUCCAUUCGGCCUUGCUGGAGCUGGGGGGUAGGGCGAUGUGGGUACCGAACAGAUCGGCUUCCCCUUUCCUUUCGGGUCCUAAAUUCAUCUCGGAUCUCAAGUGAGCCGAAGGAGAUGAGCUUUGACGGGGAUCAAAUUUCGCAUCGUGAAAGAACCAAGACUUUUGUUAACACAUUUUAAUGCCAAAUUUGGCUGGCUAAGCUAUGAAAGACGUGGUAAAGGAUACAUCCAACGAGCCAAAAGCCAAAAAAUUAAGCAAUAAGUCAGCGUCGCUGAACUGAACGUCUUCUGUAUAGGAGUGUUUUACCUCGCCGAAUUACUAUUUUAUUUUUUGGCUUUUAGCUCGUUCGAUAUAUCAUUUACUAUGAUCUGCGUUAACUUUGGGGCUUCCGUAUAUACUCCUCCUCGGAGCACUGCAGUGAUUCCUCCUCCUUGAGGAAAGCACUGAGUUUGUCGUUUGGCGCCACCUAUUUGUAAGUGUUGGGGGGGGGGGGGGCGUUGAAAUGAGGGAGGACGCCGAUUCCAAUUCGUGGGAUCGCUGAAUUCGCAAUUCCACUCCUCGUUACCCGGUACGGCCGCAUCUACCGCUGGGACCUUGAAUGGUGCUAAAUUGAGCAGACGCGCGUCUUCGUUUGGAACUUACCCCUCACGCGCCCGGAGGAAUCGGACAGACCAGGAUAUUGAGCCGUCCGCCCACCCCCCCC
rnacentral:lncRNA from 1 species